GACAGGCUAGCUCAGUCGGUAGAGCAUGAGACUUUUAAUCUCAGGGUCGUGGGUUCGAGCCCCAAGUUGGGCG
rnacentral:tRNA from 1 species